UGCCAGCCGCCGCGGUAAUACGAAGGGUGCAAGCGUUACUCGGAAUUACUGGGCGUAAAGCGUGCGUAGGUGGUUCGUUAAGUCUGAUGUGAAAGCCCUGGGCUCAACCUGGGAAUGGCAUUGGAUACUGGCGAUCUAGAGUGCGGUAGAGGGCAGUGGAAUUCCCGGUGUAGCAGUGAAAUGCGUAGAGAUCGGGAGGAACAUCUGUGGCGAAGGCGACUGCCUGGACCAGCACUGACACUGAGGCACGAAAGCGUGGGGAGCAAACAGGAUUAGAUA
rnacentral:rRNA from 1 species